rnacentral:rRNA from 1 species
CAGGACGCUGUGAUCUCUUCGGAGUGAACUUGUCGCUGACGAGUGGCGGACGGGUGAGUAAUGCUUAGGAAUCUGCCCAGUAGUGGGGGACAACACGGGGAAACUCGUGCUAAUACCGCAUACGCCUUACGAGGGAAAGUGGAGGAUCUUCGGACUUCACGCUAUUGGAUGAGCCUAAGUCGGAUUAGCUAGUUGGUGGGGUAAUGGCCUACCAAGGCGACGAUCCGUAGCUGGUCUGAGAGGACGAUCAGCCACACUGGGACUGAGACACGGCCCAGACUCCUACGGGAGGCAGCAGUGGGGAAUAUUGGACAAUGGGGGCAACCCUGAUCCAGCAAUGCCGCGUGUGUGAAGAAGGCCUGCGGGUUGUAAAGCACUUUCAGUAGAGAAGAAAAGCUUAGGGUUAAUACCCCUGAGUCUUGACGUAACCUACAGAAGAAGCACCGGCUAACUCCGUGCCAGCAGCCGCGGUAAUACGGAGGGUGCGAGCGUUAAUCGGAAUUACUGGGCGUAAAGCGCGCGUAGGCGGUCUGGUCAGUCGGAUGUGAAAGCCCAGGGCUUAACCUUGGAAUUGCAUUCGAUACUGCCAAACUAGAAUGUUGGAGAGGGAAGUGGAAUUUCCGGUGUAGCGGUGAAAUGCGUAGAGAUCGGAAGGAACACCAGUGGCGAAGGCGGCUUCCUGGCCAAACAUUGACGCUGAGGUGCGAAAGCGUGGGUAGCGAACAGGAUUAGAUACCCUGGUAGUCCACGCCGUAAACGAUGAGAACUAGUUGUCGGGAGGGUUUAGCCUCUCGGUGACGCAGCUAACGCGUUAAGUUCUCCGCCUGGGGAG